UACGGGGGGAGCAAGCGUUGUUCGGAAUCACUGGGCGUAAAGGGCGCGUAGGCGGGAUGGCAAGUCAGUCGUGAAAUCUCUCGGCUCAACCGAGAAACGUCGGGCUGAUACUGCCGUUCUUGAGGGGAUGCAGAGGAGACUGGAAUUCCCGGUGUAGCGGUGAAAUGUGUAGAGAUCGGGAGGAACACCGGUGGCGAAGGCGGGUCUCUGGGCAUUUCCUGACGCUGAGGCGCGAAAAGCGUGGGGAGCAAACGGGG
rnacentral:rRNA from 1 species